UACGGAGGGUGCGAGCGUUGUCCGGAAUCAUUGGGCGUAAAGGGCGCGUAGGUGGCCCGGUCAGUUCGUGGUGAAAGCGCGGGGCUCAACUCCGCGUCGGCCAUGAAUACUGCUGGGCUUGAGCACUGUAGAGGCAGGCGGAAUUCCGGGUGUAGCGGUGGAAUGCGUAGAGAUCCGGAAGAACACCGGUGGCGAAGGCGGCCUGCUGGGCAGUAGCUGACACUGAGGCGCGACAGCGUGGGAAGCAAACAGG
rnacentral:rRNA from 1 species